UGCUCAGUGAGUUGCCUUGUAGUCUUAUUGAUCAAAAUGCAUUUAAUCCCUGAGAAAACUUAUCAAGUUAACAUUAGCCAAGUUUUAGCAUUCCGCUAACGACCAGAGGACCGCAAGGAAUAUAAAUCCUUCCUUCCUCCACCGUUCAACCAGAAUUGAAGAAGCUCCUGAGAUGAGAAGCAAAACGUCUUCAAGGAAAAAGCAAGAAAGUCCAGCUGCCUCUUGAAAAAAAGCACCUCUGGGACAGUUUUGCUGAUGGCUUCGUGGUGGAGAGGCUGACAAUUUCCCGUCUUCCCACUGAUAAUAGAUGCUGGAAGGACAAGAAUUCUGCUCCAGAUGAGGCUUCAUCUGAACCUCCAUUUUCAGUCUGUGACAACACUUUCCCACCUAUGGGGGACUGCUCAGAGCCUAUAACUUAUAUUAACGAUGCAUGUAACGGGUGGAAUGAUUGGAGUUGAGCGUUUACUGGCCAGAUGCCCUUCCUGAUGCCUUUGUGGAGUUCACAGCAGAUCUUUUCUCUUUGCAUCCCGAGAGAGAAAUAAUCUGCCACUACCAAGGGUUAAACCAUAAAUAUGAAACCAAAAACAGCCUGUAUUAUAUCACAGUCCUCAACUUACAACACUUUGUUUAAUGAAUGUUUGGAGUUACAAUGGCACUCAAAGAAGUAAUUAUGACCAUUUUUCAUACUUACGACUGUUGCAGCAUCCCCAUAGUCACAUGAUCAAAAUUCAGAUGCUUGGCAGCUGACUCAUAUUUAUGACAGUUGCAGUGUUCCAGGGUCAUGUGAUCAAUUUUUGCUUCUGACAAACAAAAUCCAUGGGGAUUAACAACCUUAACAACCUUGGCAAGAAAAGUUGUAAUACAACGCAAAAUUCAUUUGACAACUGUCUCGCUUCGUAACGUAAAUUUUGGGCUCAAUUGUGAUCAUAAGUCGAGGACUAUUUGUUAUCCUAUAAAAACGAAACCUAGAACACCCCGUGUUUUAUUAUUCUUACCAAUAUAUGGAUGAUUUCUUAUCCCUGGAUAUAUAUUUGUGUUUUCAAAGACAAAAAUGGUCAUUUUUCAGCUGUUCAACCUGAAAUUUAUCAUACUGAAAUGGUGG
rnacentral:lncRNA from 1 species